UUUGAAUAAUUUUGAUUAGCUUUAAUUUUAGGUUGUUUAUGCUUCUGAUUCCUCAGUUAUAACCGUUCGAGUGUAAAAUUUGAUUAUCAAAUGCAGAUUCAAAGUGCUGUUUGGAUAUGAAGUAAAUUAAACGCUCCAGUUUACAAUGUAUUCCCCUCAGCCUUCAUCGGCGCGUCCGCUUGUGGCGUCACCAAGGGCGGUAGAGAAGCCACAACCUGAGCCGAGCGUCCUUGAAGCUUCGCUUCUCAAACUUAUGCAGGAUCAUCACCAAACUUCUCUGCAUCUUCGUGAACAAACUGAGAAGGCAAAAAAAGAUGCAAUUAGAAAGGCAGUGAAAGUUUCAGAUCAUUUGAUGGAUGCUGUGAACGGGGGUGUACAAGAGUCUUUUAUCAAUGAGAAACGAAUUGAAUUCGAGAUUAGAGCUUUAGCUACUUCGAUUUCUCGAUUCAUGAAGCAAACUGAUCAGUGGCUUACGGCUACUCAUGCUAUUAAUAAUGCUAUCAAGGAAAUUGGUGAUUUUGAGAAUUGGAUGAAGACAAUGGAAUUUGAAUGUAAAAGCAUAAACGCAGCAAUUCGCAACGUUUGUCAAUAAUUCAUUCAAGUAUGAAAAGGUUUUGUUUUAGCAGAAUAAAUGGCAGUGAAGUACUAGCUUGGAUUUACGAAGAUUUCACUGUAGAUUGUACUUCUGUUGUCACUUCGCCGACCAGCUAAUCUAAAGGAGUAAAGGUGGAGACAACAUGAUAUGGAAGCACCUGAUGUAAGGACAAGAUUUGAUAUCAUAUAUCAUAUAUAAAUUACUGAAGUCGAGUUUUCCUACAGAUUAAGAGCCAUGCAAGGAUUAUGGAGAUGACAUUCAUUAUGUGAUAAGGCAUUAUAAUUGUGAUCCAGCGUUGUAACUUGCCGUUGUGGAGUCUCUUCUACCUAACUCAACUUGCCAUGAAGGACCGCCCAACUGGAGUGUAAUUCACAGUACAAAACAGGAAAUAAUGAUCUAUUACAGUAAGUAUUGCUGCCAUGACAAAUUAUAUUAGAUUAGGGAUGUAAUUGAGCGGAGCCGAGUUAAAAUACCGUCAAGUUUGGAGUUUGAUUCAACUUGAUUCUAAAAUUUAAAACUUGAUUCGAACUUGAUCGUUUGAAGGAGCUUAAACUCGAAUUUGAUAGAAUAAUUGAGUAUUCGAGUUGUCUCGAUUUGAUUA